rnacentral:misc_RNA from 1 species
AAAAUAAUCAAAAGACACAAGAUGGCGCAAUAAGCACAAAUAGAUAUCACAUUCGUUAAGACAUUUACAUUCUCACGUCAUCUUUCAUAGGUUAGAAACAGUUUUUCUUCAGUGAUUUAAGAAACAUCAGUAUAAAUUUUUUAUAGUGUUCAUCUUACAAUAUAAGAUUCAUCGAUUAAGACUAUUCAUAAUAAAUCAUUCAAGCGUUAUAGAAAAUGAAAGUUACGAUAAAAAGUUGGACUGGUGUUGCCACCUGGCGUUGGAUAGCGAAUGAUGACAAUUGUGGUAUAUGUAGAAUGCCUUUUGAUGCCAGUUGUCCUGAUUGUAAAAUUCCAGGAGAUGAUUGUCCUUUAGUUUGGGGCCAAUGCUCACAUUGCUUCCACAUACACUGCAUCAUGAAGUGGUUGCAUUCCCAACAAACCAGUCAUCUCUGUCCGAUGUGUCGUCAAGAAUGGAAGUUCAAGGAGUAGCUGGUUUGCCGAUAGUCCCGCAGGUGUCAGCACGCAACGAAUAAUCAGCAUACAAGAAAGGAUCGCUAUGUCUUCCCUGCAAGGUCUACCACCGUUACCAAGGAGUCUUAGUGGGUUUAAUUUGAGUGGUGGACGAAGCGAGGGUUGCGAACCACCUCCGCCACCCACUAGAUCUUCCAGUAAAACGCAAAGAGGCGGUAAAACCCCGAUCCAAUCAUCGUCCAGGCCAUCACCUCCUGCUAGACAGCUUACCACAUUGGAUACACAACUGGCUAUACUGAGGAGAGAAAUGUUUGGUCUUCGACAAUUGGAUCUUUCUUUGCUCGCUCAACUUUGGUCGUUAAACGAAUCUAUUCAAGAAUUUCGACAACUUUUACAAGAA